GUGACGUUGGCAGAAGGAACGUGACAUGGUUGUAUUGUUGUUUGCGUUCGUUGACUACUGCGCACCUUGCGACGCCACACCAUUGACGUUGCUGAAGCAGUAGCUGCGUCGUAAUUUUCGAACUCGGGGGCCAUCAAAGCACAUGCGCACAAAGUAGCUAUAGCAGUUCAUAAUUCAGCAGAAAUCUGCUUCAGUGCACUUGCAUCGCAAAAGGAGCUGUUCCAACUUUCAGCUGUUCAACCAGAGACCUCUUCAAACUGGUGGACACAUUCUUUCUCAUUUGAAUUGUCAAAGUUGACUCCCAGUAAUCUAAUGCCUUUGCUGUUCAACAACCGAUAACCACUUCAACUGCUGUGAGUGUGAAAUCGGUGAAUGAAGUCAAGGAGGGACUGGGAGGUGUGACAGCUGAUGGGGAUCAACAGCAAUGAGGAGUGGAGAACGUGAAGGAUGAGAAGUCGGCUGUUGUGGAGGACAAAGCAGCAGCAUUGGUUGCUAUCAGACCGUCUGUUCGUGCUUCUACCAACUUGGAUCAAGCACAGGACACAGAGACGCCAAAUUUCCUUGGAGUUGUAAAGGAAGGGAUGACAUCUGACAUGUGCUUUAGGAGCAUCUUCUUCUGCGUGCAGUUUGGCAUGGGAAUGGUCUGCUAACCACAUAAAUCAGGAAUUGAGUAUAGCAAUUGAGUUUUAGAGCAGCAGUUGAAAAAAUUCUUGGACAUGUGAAGAAGAUUGCAUAUAUUUGGAAGGUUGGAUCAAUGAAUGGCAUGUCAAAGUAGUGUCCAGUAAAUCAUGCCACUAUUCAAG